UACAGAGGGGCAAGCGUUAUUCGGAAUUAUUGGGCGUAAAGGGCGCGUAGGCGGCUUGGCAAGUGGAUGGUGAAAUCCCUCGGCUUAACCGAGGAACUGCCGUCCAAACUGCUUCGCUUGAGACCGGGAGAGGUGAGUGGAAUUCCCAGUGUAGCGGUGAAAUGCGUAGAUAUUGGGAGGAACACCAGUGGCGAAGGCGGCUCACUGGACCGGUACUGACGCUGAUGCGCGAAAGCGUGGGGAGCAAACGGGG
rnacentral:rRNA from 1 species